GACGAACGCUGGCGGCGUGCCUAAUACAUGCAAGUCGAGCGAAUCGAUGGGAGCUUGCUCCCUGAGAUUAGCGGCGGACGGGUGAGUAACACGUGGGCAACCUGCCUAUAAGACUGGGAUAACUUCGGGAAACCGGAGCUAAUACCGGAUACGUUCUUUUCUCGCAUGAGAGAAGAUGGAAAGACGGUUUACGCUGCCACUUAUAGAUGGGCCCGCGGCGCAUUAGCUAGUUGGUGAGGUAAUGGCUCACCAAGGCGACGAUGCGUGGCCGACCUGAGAGGGUGAUCGGCCACACUGGGACUGAGACACGGCCCAGACUCCUACGGGAGGCAGCAGUAGGGAAUCUUCCGCAAUGGACGAAAGUCUGACGGAGCAACGCCGCGUGAACGAAGAAUGCCUUCGGGUCGUAAAGUUCUGUUGUUAGGGAAGAACAAGUACCAGAGUAACUGCUGGUACCUUGACGGUACCUAACCAGAAAGCCACGGCUAACUACGUGCCAGCCGCCGCAGUAAAAC
rnacentral:rRNA from 1 species